UACAGAGGUCUCAAGCGUUGUUCGGAUUCAUUGGGCGUAAAGGGUGCGUAGGUGGCGUCGUAAGUGGGGUGUGAAAUCCCGGGGCUUAACCCCGGGACUGCAUUCCAUACUGCGGUGCUUGAGGACUGGAGAGGAGACUGGAAUUUACGGUGUAGCAGUGAAAUGCGUAGAGAUCGUAAGGAAGACCAGUGGCGAAGGCGGGUCUCUGGACAGUUCCUGACACUGAGGCACGAAGGCCAGGGGAGCAACAGG
rnacentral:rRNA from 1 species